rnacentral:rRNA from 1 species
AGAAUCAACGCUGGCGGCGUGCCUAACACAUGCAAGUCGCACGAGAAAGUGGAGCAAUCCACGAGUAAAGUGGCGCACGGGUGAGUAACACGUGAAUAAUCUACCUCCGAGUGGGGAAUAACUGAGAGAAAUCUUAGCUAAUACCGCAUAAUACCCACGGGUCAAAGCAAGCAAUGCGCUUGGAGAGGAGUUCGCGACCGAUUAGCUAGUUGGCGGGUAAUGGCCCACCAAGGCGAUGAUCGGUA